rnacentral:rRNA from 1 species
GAUGAACGCUGGCGGCGUGCUUAACACAUGCAAGUCGAACGGAAAGGCCCAAGCUUGCUUGGGUCCUCGAGUGGCGAACGGGUGAGUAACACGUGGGUGAUCUGCCCUGCACUUUGGGAUAAGCCUGGGAAACUGGGUCUAAUACCGGAUAGGACCACAUUUUGGAUGGUGUGGUGGAAAGUUUUUCGGUGUGGGAUGAGCUCGCGGCCUAUCAGCUUGUUGGUGGGGUAAUGGCCUACCAAGGCGUCGACGGGUAGCCGGCCUGGGAGGGUGUACGGCCACAUUGGGACUGAGAUACGGCCCAGACUCCUACGGGAGGCAGCAGUGGGGAAUAUUGCACAAUGGGCGCAAGCCGGAUGCAGCGACGCCGCGUGGGGGAUGACGGCCUUCGGGUUGUAAACUCCUUUCGCUAGGGACGAAGCGCAAGUGACGGUACCUGGAGAAGAAGCACCGGCUAACUACGUG